AGCCAUGCAUGUCUCAGUGCAAGCCAAAUUAAGGUGAAACCGCGAAAGGCUCAUUAAAUCAGUUAUGGUUCCUUAGAUCGUACUCACAUUUACUUGGAUAACUGUGGUAAUUCUAGAGCUAAUACAUGCAAACAGAGCUCCGACCGGAGACGGAAGGAGCGCUUUUAUUAGACCAAAACCAAUCGGUGUCGAGCUUUGCUCGCCAUCGUAAUAGUUGGUGACUCUGAAUAACUUUAUGCUGAUCGCACGGUCUCGCACCGGCGACGCAUCUUUCAAAUGUCUGCCUUAUCAACUGUCGAUGGUAGGUUCUGCGCCUACCAUGGUUGUAACGGGUAACGGGGAAUCAGGGUUCGAUUCCGGAGAGGGAGCCUGAGAAACGGCUACCACAUCCAAGGAAGGCAGCAGGCGCGCAAAUUACCCACUCCCGGCACGGGGAGGUAGUGACGAAAAAUAACGAUACGGGACUCAUCCGAGGCCCCGUAAUCGGAAUGAGUACACUCUAAACCCUUUAACGAGGAUCAAUUGGAGGGCAAGUCUGGUGCCAGCAGCCGCGGUAAUUCCAGCUCCAAUAGCGUAUAUUAAAGUUGUUGCGGUUAAAAAGCUCGUAGUCGAAUCUGUGUCCCGCGCCGCUGGUUCAUCGUACGCGGUGUCAACUGGCGUGCCGCGGGACGUCCUGCCGGUGGGCUCAGCUCGCAAGGGCGGCCCAACUCAAUCCCGCCGCGGUGCUCUUCACUGAGUGUCGAGGUGGGCCGGCACAUUUACUUUGAACAAAUUAGAGUGCUUAAAGCAGGCUAAAAUUUCGCCUGAAUACUGUGUGCAUGGAAUAAUGGAAUAGGACCUCGGUUCUAUUUUGUUGGUUUUCGGAACCCCGAGGUAAUGAUUAAUAGGAACGGAUGGGGGCAUUCGUAUUGCGACGUUAGAGGUGAAAUUCUUGGAUCGUCGCAAGACGGACAGAAGCGAAAGCAUUUGCCAAAAACGCUUUCAUUGAUCAAGAACGAAAGUUAGAGGUUCGAAGGCGAUCAGAUACCGCCCUAGUUCUAACCAUAAACGAUGCCAGCUAGCGAUCCGCCGACGUUCCUCCGAUGACUCGGCGGGCAGCUUCCGGGAAACCAAAGCUUUUGGGUUCCGGGGGAAGUAUGGUUGCAA
rnacentral:rRNA from 1 species